GGCUGCACAGGCAAAGGCUUUCCGCUCACAUGACGAGGAUGAUGAUGAUGAUGACUCUGAUGACGAUUUUAGUGAUGAUGAUGAAGAGAUGCAGUCACCCCUUGAUGAGGUGGACCCUUUCAUUUUCUUUGUGGAAACAAUUAAAGCUAUGCAAGCAUCUGAUCCAGUGAAGUUCCAGAGCCUGACCCAGACUUUGGACUUCCGUUAUCAAGCAUUGGCAAAUGGUGUUGCUGUGCAUGCUGAGGAGAGAAGAGCAGAGAUAGAGAAAGAAAAAUUGGAGAAGGCGUCAGCAGUAGUUGCUUCAUGAUUUUGGUCAACCGGUUUGCUUUUGGCCAAAACUCAAUGAGUGAUCAUCCCAUUAUGAGCCUUGGUUACCGAGGGCAGAAGAUGAACUUGCAGCUAGGCCUGCUUUUUCUUUUGCUGUGUGGUCUUGAUGAGUCGCCGUGAAGUGGGCUAUUCUAUGUCAGAAGAUGCCCUUCUUUGCUGGAUGUCAUUGUCUUUUUUCCCGAGUGUCUUGGUAGUAGUUCAUUUUUAUACAGAUGAAAACGUUAGGAUUAUUCAUUGGUGGCCUUUCUAUUUGGUAUAGGAGGGUUUGGGGGUUGAGGGAUGGUCGUAAAUGCACACAGCAUUUAUCAUGUAUUAUAUUUGUUUGGGUACCAGAUGAUGCAUAUACUGUCUGAAUUGGGUGAAUUACUACCCUAAAAGUUUUGUAAGCCCCGGUUGUAGUUUAUGUUCAGUAUUUAUACAUCAUUGGUUUAUUUUUGGGUCUAAAGGUGCUUCACAUUGCAA
rnacentral:misc_RNA from 1 species